rnacentral:rRNA from 1 species
AUUGAACGCUGGCGGUAUGCUUAACACAUGCAAGUCGAACGGUAACAGGCCUUCGGGCGCUGACGAGUGGCGGACGGGUGCGUAACGCGUAGGAAUCUGCCUGGUAGUGGGGGACAACUUGGGGAAACUCAAGCUAAUACCGCAUACGCCCUACGGGGGAAAGCGGGGGAUCUUCGGACCUCGCGCUAUCAGAUGAGCCUGCGUUGGAUUAGCUAGUUGGUAGGGUAAAGGCCUACCAAGGCGACGAUCCAUAGCUGGGCUGAGAGGACGAUCAGCCACACUGGGACUGAGACACGGCCCAGACUCCUACGGGAGGCAGAAUUGGGGAAUAUUGGACAAGGGGCGCAAUCCUGAUCCAGCAAUACCGCGUGUGUGAAGAAGGCCUGAGGGUUGUAAAGCACUUUUAAUAGGGAGGAAAACCUAUCGGCUAAUACCCGGUGGCUUGACAUUACCUAUAGAAAAAGCACCGGCUAACUCCGUGCCAGCCGCCGCAGUAACAC